UACGGGGGGGGCAAGCGUUGUUCGGAAUUACUGGGCGUAAAGGGCUCGUAGGCGGCCAACUAAGUCAGACGUGAAAUCCCCGAGCUCAACUCGGGAACUGCGUCCGAUACUGGCGGGCUUGAAUCCGGGAGAGGGAUGCAGAAUUCCAGGUGUAGCGGUGAAAUGCGUAGAUAUCUGGAGGAAUACCGGUGGCGAAGGCGGCAUCCUGGACCGGCAUUGACGCUGAGGAGCGAAAGCCAGGGGAGCAAACGGG
rnacentral:rRNA from 1 species